rnacentral:misc_RNA from 1 species
UAGCUGGUUCUGUCUCGCAUGGAU